GAGAGUGGUGGGCCUACGUGGAGUUUGUUACAGAGAGUGGAGUGGUGUCCAUUAUCGCGACUUGCCGGAGAGUUCAGGCCGGACGACUGAAGCUCGGUUGGGAUAUCUGGUGGAGUGGAAUAGCUCUCUGUCUCAGCAAUCUAAGAGAAGCUCGGAUGUUUUCGAGGUUGUUGAUGGAUUAACUGUUGUUGCGUGCCUUAGGCAUUGGUGCUAC
rnacentral:lncRNA from 1 species